CGAACGAUGAUGCCCAGCUUGCUGGGUGGAUUAGUGGCGAACGGGUGAGUAACACGUGAGUAACCUGCCCCUGACUCUGGGAUAAGCGUUGGAAACGACGUCUAAUACUGGAUAUGACUACCGGCCGCAUGGUCUGGUGGUGGAAAGAUUUUUUGGUUGGGGAUGGACUCGCGGCCUAUCAGCUUGUUGGUGAGGUAAUGGCUCACCAAGGCGACGACGGGUAGCCGGCCUGAGAGGGUGACCGGCCACACUGGGACUGAGACACGGCCCAGACUCCUACGGGAGGCAGCAGUGGGGAAUAUUGCACAAUGGGCGAAAGCCUGAUGCAGCAACGCCGCGUGAGGGAUGACGGCCUUCGGGUUGUAAACCUCUUUUAGUAGGGAAGAAGCGAAAGUGACGGUACCUGCAGAAAAAGCACCGGCUAACUACGUGCCAGCAGCCGCGGUAAUACGUAGGGUGCAAGCGUUGUCCGGAAUUAUUGGGCGUAAAGAGCUCGUAGGCGGUUUGUCGCGUCUGCUGUGAAAUCCCGAGGCUCAACCUCGGGCUUGCAGUGGGUACGGGCAGACUAGAGUGCGGUAGGGGAGAUUGGAAUUCCUGGUGUAGCGGUGGAAUGCGCAGAUAUCAGGAGGAACACCGAUGGCGAAGGCAGAUCUCUGGGCCGUAACUGACGCUGAGGAGCGAAAGCAUGGGGAGCGAACAGGAUUAGAUACCCUGGUAGUCCAUGCCGUAAACGUUGGGCGCUAGAUGUAG
rnacentral:rRNA from 2 species